UAAUUUGAGAGUUUGAUCCUGGCUCAGGACGAACGCUGGCGGCGUGCCUAACACAUGCAAGUCGAGCGGAGAUAA
rnacentral:ncRNA from 1 species